rnacentral:rRNA from 1 species
GACAGAGGUGGCAAGCGUUGUUCGGUAUCACUGGGCUUAAAGCGUGUGUAGGCGGAAGCGUAAGCAUUUUGUGAAAUCCCCCGGCUCAACCGGGGCAUUGCUUGAUGUACUGCGCUUCUUGAGGCAGGUAGGGGUGCGAGGAACUCUUGGUGGAGCGGUGGAAUGCGUAGAUAUCAAGAGGAACGCCGAUGGUGAAGACAUUGCACUGGGCCUGUCCUGACGCUGAGACACGAAAGCGUGGGGAGCAAACGGG